rnacentral:rRNA from 1 species
UGGGGAAUAUUGGACAAUGGGCGAAAGCCUGAUCCAGCGACGCCGCGUGAGUGAUGAAGGCCUUCGGGUUGUAAAGCUCUGUUGAGGGAGAAGAAAACAGUUAGAACUAAUAUGUCUAGCUCUUGACGGUAUCCCUUUAGAAAGCACCGGCUAACUCUGUGCCAGCAGCCGCGGUAAUACGGAGGGGGCUAGCGUUGUUCGGAAUUACUGGGCGUAAAGCGCGCGUAGGCGGCUUUGUAAGUUAGAGGUGAAAUCCUGGAGCUCAACUCCAGAACUGCCUUUAAGACUGCAUCGCUAGAAUCGUGGAGAGGUGAGUGGAAUUCCGAGUGUAGAGGUGAAAUUCGUAGAUAUUCGGAAGAACACCAGUGGCGAAGGCGACUCACUGGACACGUAUUGACGCUGAGGUGCGAAAGCGUGGGGAGCAA